GUACCUUCAAGCUUUGCUUGGUGUUGGGCGUCUUUUUUGUCUUGGGCCUUUGUGCCCUGAGACUCGCCUUAAAACGAUUGGCAGCCGGCCUACUGGUUUCGGAGCGCAGCACAUUUUUGCGCUUGCAAUCAGCAAAAGAGGCCAGCCAUCCAUCAAGACCAUUCUUCUCAC
rnacentral:misc_RNA from 1 species